rnacentral:rRNA from 1 species
AGUCGAGGGGCAGCAUAUAGAUUGCUUGCAAUUUAUGAUGGCGACCGGCGCACGGGUGAGUAACGCGUAUCCAACCUACCCAUUACUAGGGAAUAACCCAGCGAAAGUUGGCCUAAUGCCCUAUGUAGUCGUUUGAUCGCCUGAGAUUUCGACGAAAGAUUUAUCGGUAUUGGAUGGGGAUGCGUCUGAUUAGCUUGUUGGCGGGGUAAAGGCCCACCAAGGCAACGAUCAGUAGGGGUUCUGAGAGGAAGGUCCCCCACUGGAACUGAGACACGGUCCAAACUCCUACGGGAGGCAGCAGUGAGGAAUAUUGGUCAAUGGGCGAGAGCCUGAACCAGCCAAGUAGCGUGCAGGAUGACGGCCCUAUGGGUUGUAAACUGCUUUUAUAUGGGAAUAAAGUGAGGGACGUGUCCCUUAUUGCGUGUACCAUACGAAUAAGGACCGGCUAAUUCCGUGCCAGCAGCCGCGGUAAUACGGAAGGUCCAGGCGUUAUCCGGAUUUAUUGGGUUUAAAGGGAGCGUAGGCUGUUUGUUAAGCGUGUUGUGAAAUGUAGGAGCUCAACUUUUAGAUUGCAGCGCGAACUGGCAGACUUGAGUGCGCACAACGUAGGCGGAAUUCAUGGUGUAGCGGUGAAAUGCUUAGAUAUCAUGACGAACUCCGAUUGCGAAGGCAGCUUACGGGAGCGCAACUGACGCUAAAGCUCGA